CCAGGAAGGGGCCUUGGGCUCAAGCUUCUCUUUUCUUUAGGCCAUUAGCGCCAGGUGCCUCUGCACUUAUUUGUCUCCUCUGGCCAUGCACGUAUUGAUUAAAGAUAAGCCAGUCUCUCCGGGUGAUAGGUGGCCAGGCCAGUGAGAACUAGCUGGUGCCAUGGAAGGCACGUGGACUUUGGAGUGGAGGCCCGAGGCUUGAACGCUGGCUCUGCCCCUCCCUCUGCCCUGGGACACUUCUGAAUCUCCUCUUCCUCUUCCUCUGCCAGAGAAGAGAUCUAAUCACCGGCUUGAGAGGCCAUGAGGAUGAGCCGAAUAAGAUUGAUGAACCUGUCAGGCUGCUGGCCUGGGCGCUGAGCCCGCUCCCGCCUGAAUUCUCCCGACAGCUGCCCUGCUUCUCCACUUGGACUUGCCGGGGCUCCCGUUGGAACCAAGAAAAGCCUCUGCUCUGCUCCAGUCACACACAAAAAAAUAGCAAGAAUGAUGCAAUAUGUGUCUCUCAUGGCCACAAGCCACGGAGAAGGUCCAGGCGUCCAGAUCCCUACCCCAAAUUCACGCCAGCAUUGCAAAUCAAUGCCUUCUUGUUCCCAUGAAUCCUGGGUAACUCCCACCACUCUACCCGGCAGCAGCUCUGUCACCCCCUUAUCUCGUGACAAAGGCCACCAACCUAGCCACUGAGGCACAAAAUUGGCCGGGUGCAGAGAAAGAGUUUCUAAGUACCUAAUCCCUGUAACCUGACCUUUAAUUCUAAUAACAGUGACAUUUAUUAAAGAUUAUGUGCCUGGCA